rnacentral:lncRNA from 1 species
ACUCAAACUUGGGUCUCCUGAUUUCCAACGUAGGCUUAUUUCCAUUCUAUUGUGCUCCUUUUCUAGCUUUGAUGGGAAGCAUCCCUGGUGGGAAAAGCACUGACUAUGAGUUCAAGUCCUGCCUCUGGCUCUUGCUGACUUUGUGACCUGAAGCAAGUCACAACCUAUCUGUGCCUCACUUUCCUCAUCUGUAAAAUCAAGAGAUUGAACUAGACGGCCUCUGAGGGCCCCUUGAACUCUAAAUCUCUGUGCCAUGAAGCUUGUGUGCAGCUACUAUCCCAGCCAUUCAACAAUCCCAGUAAGUACGAGCUUACUUACUAUUCAGCAUCAGUAUAGUCUCUCUUUUGCCCUUCAGCUUUCAUCUGGUGAAUGUCUUUCAGCAAUCUCCAGGCUUGUCAGCACCACUAUUAGAUGGUGGUCAGGACCAGGGCAAGCUGAAGGGGAAGGCUCAAAUCAAUCAGUUUUGCUAGGAAUGAAUUGUUUUGGUAAAAAGAUACAGAGAGGAAGUUUGAAAUUUGUGCCUGAAAAGACCUGUUUCCCCUCAUUAGCACAGAUAAUUAUGGCCUCUAAUCAUCAGCAUCCACUUUUUCUUGCUGACUUCCUGGGUGGUCUACAGUUUACCCCCAAAGCCUACCCCACCAUUACAGCUUCCCUUUUCCCAGAGGAAGAAGAGGAUGAAGAGGAUGAAAAGAACCACGAGUCUCCCUGGAGAGACUGCAAUCGCAAACAAGUUUCUCCCAGAAGCACUGUGCUUACAGAAAAUUGCCUGGGGCACUGAAAAGUUAAGUGACUUGUCCAGGGUCUCACAACCAGGAUGCCAGCUCUCUUCCCACGGUAUGAUGUUUCCUCUCCUUUGUCCCUUCUGCUCUAAGAAUCACUAUGGUUUGGUUUGGGUCCC